rnacentral:rRNA from 1 species
CGGGGGAAAAAUUUAUUGCUAUUAGAUGAGCCUAUAUUAGAUUAGCUAGUUGGUGGGGUAAUAGCCUACCAAGGUAAUGAUCUAUAGCUGAUCUGAGAGGAUGAUCAGCCACACUGGAACUGAGAUACGGUCCAGACUCCUACGGGAGGCAGCAGUGGGGAAUAUUGGACAAUGGGCGAAAGCCUGAUCCAGCCAUGCCGCAUGAGUGAAGAAGGCCUUUGGGUUGUAAAGCUCUUUUAGUGAGGAAGAUAAUGACGGUACUCACAGAAGAAGUCCUGGCUAACUCCGUGCCAGCAGCCGCGGUAAUACGGAGAGGGCUAGCGUUAUUCGGAAUUAUUGGGCGUAAAGGGCGCGUAGGCUGGUUAAUAAGUUAAAAGUGAAAUCCCGAGGCUUAACCUUGGAAUUGCUUUUAAAACUAUUAAUCUAGAGAUUGAAAGAGGAUAGAGGAAUUCCUGAUGUAGAGGUAAAAUUCGUAAAUAUUAGGAGGAACACCAUUGGCGAAGGCGUCUAUCUGGUUCAAAUCUGACGCUGAAGCGCGAAGGCGUGGGGAGCAAACAGGAUUAGAUACCCUGGUAGUCCACGCUGUAAACGAUGAAUGUUAAAUAUGGGGAGUUUACUUUCUGUAUUACAGCU